rnacentral:ncRNA from 2 species
CUUUGCUCAGGGCAACUUGGUCGAAAGGCCAAGACGCAAAGCCACGGGCCUGUAGCUCAGAUGAGUAUGGCAGCCGGGUUACCAAA